GUGGCUUAGUGGAAAGAGCACGGGUUUGGGAGUCCGAGAUCGUGGGUUCUAAUCCCACC
rnacentral:tRNA from 1 species